CCCACCACGCCUUUGCCUGGGGCAAUGCAGGUUCCCUCUCUCGGUGACCACCCCGCGGGUAUAAAUUCGCAGAGCUGCGUUCUGAGGGCAUCAGUUGGCAGCGACGACAACAGAAGGCAACAACAUGAAGGCUAUCGUGUACCUUUUGGUGGUGCUGGCUGUGGUGUGUGCAGCCCUGGCGGUGCCUGGCCCGGCGCCCUUCCCGCGCCCUGGCCCUAUUCCAGUGGCUGCUGAGCCCAGAGAGACUCUCCGUGGCAGUGAGCAGUACUACUACUACCCCUAUGUCUACGGAUAAGCUUGGACCGAAUCACCUCGAGCUGUUAAUAAUGGAUUUAUCGACUUGGCACUGAAAUGAAACUUCUCCUGGCCAUUUUCUCCAUGUUUGUUAUAUUCUUAAUGUUCUCACUCACCCAAUAAAUUUCACUUCUUCUUUCACAA